UACGGAGGGUGCAAGCGUUGUCCGGAUUUAUUGGGUUUAAAGGGUGCGUAGGCGGCUUUUUAAGUCAGUGGUGAAAUCCUACAGCUUAACUGUAGAACAGCCAUUGAUACUGAAGAGCUUGAGUACAGACGAGGUAGGCGGAAUUUAUGGUGUAGCGGUGAAAUGCAUAGAUACCAUAAAGAACUCCUAUUGCGAAGGCAGCUUGCUAGGCUGUAACUGACGCUGAGGCACGAAAGCGUGGGGAUCAAACAGG
rnacentral:rRNA from 1 species